rnacentral:rRNA from 1 species
CCUACGGGAGGCUGCAGUGGGGAAUAUUGGACAAUGGGGGGAACCCUGAUCCAGCCAUGCCGCGUGUGUGAAGAAGGCCCUCGGGUUGUAAAGCACUUUCAGUGAGGAAGAACGCCUGGUGGUUAAUACCCAUCAGGAAAGACAUCACUCACAGAAGAAGCACCGGCUAACUCCGUGCCAGCAGCCGCGGUAAUACGGAGGGUGCGAGCGUUAAUCGGAAUUACUGGGCGUAAAGCGCGCGUAGGUGGCUUGAUAAGCCGGUUGUGAAAGCCCCGGGCUCAACCUGGGAACGGCAUCCGGAACUGUCAAGCUAGAGUGCAAGAUAGGAAGGUAGAAUUCCCGGUGUAGCGGUGAAAUGCGUAGAGAUCGGGAGGAAUACCAGUGGCGAAGGCGGCCUUCUGGACUGACACUGACACUGAGGUGCGAAAGCGUGGGUAGCAAACAGGAUUAGAUACCCGAGUAGUC